AGAAACAAGGCAGUGGAGAAGUGGUGGAGCAUGGAGCCUACAAUGGCUAUCUGGAGGGUGUUAGUGAUGACGUCGUGGAUUUGGUGUUUGGUCCAUCUGGCAUGUAUUAAGGAGGCAGCAACCUUCCAAGCAUCUAAAUCCAUCCAUCAAAACUUCUACAUCUUGGUCAGAUUUGGGUUUUGGAUUUUGUUAAUUCACUUAGAACUUUAAACCUAGUCUUCGCAGUUUGUUUUGAUUUGGAGUCUUGAUUUGAACGUGACUUGUGGGUGAACUUUUAUGAGUACUUCACUAGCUUCUAGUUUGUAACUAGUACUGUAUAGAUCAGUUUUUAAAUAACGUCUCCUGGGGCUCUAUUGCUCUCAGAAGAGUCUGCCUUUUUUUUUUUUU